rnacentral:lncRNA from 1 species
UGAAUCAAGCAACACAUUAAAUAGGCUACCAUUAAAUUUUUAUAAUAAUUGGAGCAAGAUAACUAUAAUUUUAAUUUUACAAUAAAAAGCGAAACCCUAGAAAAAAUUUUAUUCUUUUUUCUCUCUUCCAAUAAUUGGAGCAAGAUAACUACAAUUUUAAUUUUACAGUAAAAAGCAUAGGCAAGUAUUUAAAAAAAAGUGUACUAAAAUUUGUGAUAUUUUUUGUUUACUGUAUGGAUCUACAUAUGUGGAGUUGAACAAAAUUUGUUUUAUAAUUUUUAGAUUUUUCUAUGAAUUACUAUGCAUUUAUUAAUUUUCAAUCGAUUUAAAAAAUAGAAAAAAGUAAAUUGGAGAUUUUAUAUUGGAAACCCUAGCAAAGUUUUUAUUUUUUUUCUCUCCUACCGAUUUCGGUUGGGCUGAUUCGAUUCCGGUUGGGCUGAUUGAGCCUACCAGCUACCGGAGGUAAUAUGAGAUUUUGCAUUAGAAACCCUAGAAUGUUUUUUAUUUUGUUUUUGCCUUUUUAGAAACAUUGGAGGGAGAAGGUGAUCGGUAAACCAAACACCAACACGGACACCGAACACCAACACGGACAGGAUCAGGCAGAAGAAAAUUUUUGGCAAACUGAAAUUUUGGCUCUUUAUAGAUAGGUAUAGAUUAGCUAAUAAUACUCUUGUCUAUACUGCAAGUCCUCUAGCCUCUCCGUGGCCAUAACAUGCGCGCGGGUGUGGAGACCGUCACGAAUCACCAAAAUCAAUCUUUCAGUAUUACGAGCCCGAUCUCAAGCGUUACGUUUACGUGCAUGACGAAACCUUUCCCGGAGUGGCAGCACGGCACAGUGGCAUUCUGCCUUCGCAAGCGGCCCCUGCCCCGCCGGCCGCCGAUAGUACGUGUGGCCGGGGCCAGCCGGCCGCAGGCGUCGCCGUCAGAUGGGAUUGGACGCGGCGCCGGCGCCGGAAAUAUCUCUGUUGGGAAGAUGCUCUCCGCACUCCCCAGCGGUACGGUGAAUAGAGAACCUUCUCACUCGGUGCCGUGAGAGGUCUGAGCUCCAACGGACAGCAGGCUCAAUAGUAGGUGAAAACAGUGAAUGCUCUCUCCUCUUAUUAAUGGCGG